rnacentral:misc_RNA from 1 species
AACGGUCUAUACCUGCGGUACCUGCGGAAGGAUCAUUAACGCGCCGUGGAGGUUGCCUUUAGACAGGUCUGACCUUCCACCUGGCCACCCUUGUUUAUCUUUAACCUGUUGCUUUGGUGGGCCCGCUGCAAGGCCGCUGGAGAAUUUAAAAGUUUUCUGGCCCGUGCCCACCAAAGUCCUAGUGAACUCUUUGUUAAUUUUCUGCUGUCUGAGCAUUAAAAGAAACAAUUUUUAAAACUU